UACGUAGGGGGCGAGCGUUGUCCGGAAUUAUUGGGCGUAAAGAGCGUGUAGGCGGUCCGGUAAGUCCGCUGUGAAAGUCGGGGGCUCAACCCUCGAAUGCCGGUGGAUACUGUCGGGCUAGAGUGCGGAAGAGGCGAGUGGAAUUCCUGGUGUAGCGGUGAAAUGCGCAGAUAUCAGGAGGAACACCUAUUGCGAGGGCAGCUCGCUGGGACGUUACUGACGCUGAGACGCGAAAGCGUGGGGAGCAAACAGG
rnacentral:rRNA from 1 species